AUGCCAAAAAAAGGGAGCCCGGUGCACAUAGCUCCCACUUGUGCAGGGUCCAGGGAAGGGUCGGACCACUUUGGUCUGUCAAUAGAUAAUUGCCCGUGCAUUGAAGGGCAAUGCCAAGCUAACAAAAAACAAUCAGUUCACUCGAUCCAGCUUUGCUGCUUGCCACCGCCGCUGCUUGCUCUCUGCUACUUACGCUGCUUGCCACCCCAGCCGUUCCCUGCCCGAUGCUGCUGCUGCCCAGGUGUGGCCACCACCGGCCGGCUGGCUACUGCCCCUUUCGCCGCCGCCGGAAGACAGAUAGGGAGACGAGCCAACCGUCACGCGAUCUGA
rnacentral:rRNA from 1 species